AGUGCAGUGCCUGGAGCUGGCCCGACUUCUCCUCAGAGUGGACCCUGGUAACCGCGACCUCCCCGCCAGGUCUUGUGUGUUGCUGGCUGGAGAAGGGUAGUUGACGAACUCAGACCCAGCGCAGUGUUUAUGUCGGUCAAAAAUAGAAAAAUAUGUCCGGGCGCGACCGAGGUCCGGGAGGACCAAGAGCAGCCUAGCAACACGGCGUGACCCCAUCUCUGUAGUCCUACCUCAGCCCCCCAGCUACUUGAACCCUAAGGUUCAAGGCUCCAAUGAGCUAUGAUCCCACCACAGCAUUCCAGCCUGCGAGACUGAGAUGAUGAUGAUUCUCCACCUUCUAAGAGACCAAAGACCAACGAGCCACCACAGCCACCGGUCCCGGAACCCGCCAAUGCUGGGGAACAGAAAGUGAGGGAGUUCAACUCUGAGACGGCGUUUCGCCAUGUUGGACCAGGCUGGUCUCGAACUCUUGACCUGAAGUGAUCCGCCCACCUCGGCCUCCCAAAGUGCUGGGAUUACAGGCAUGAGCCACCGAGCCCAGCCCCUUCAGGUGGGUUUUGAGGCUUCACUACAAUACUAGUUUCCUGUGGCUGCUGCAACAAAUUACCACACACUUAGUGACUUAAAACAACACAAAUGUAUUUAUUCCUUUACGGUUCUGAAAGCCAGAAUUCUAAAGUAACUCCCACUGAGGCAAGGUGGGAGCAGGGUCAUUGCCUUCCGAGGCUCUGUGGGAGAAUCCAUUUCCUGGCCCUGGAGGCAGCCUGCACUUCUCAGCUUGUGCUGCCCGUCUCGAAUGACUGGAGUUUCCUGCUUCCAUCACUAUACCUCCCACCCUCUCCAUCACUUUCUCUGCUCUUAUAAGGAUCCGGAGAAGUGGAAUAAUCGUAUCACUGAUCUAUGUAAACAAGUUGAAGAAUUGUCUGAAAGAAAAUAUGAUAUGUCUAAACUGGAAAAGUCAUGUAAUCCUUUGUUCAUGAGCAUUUACACAAUGAAGUUACUGUUCAUCAUGGGGGUACCGUGGACAAGCCCAGGGCUGCCGCUCAAGCUGUAAAAGCCAAAGGUCCAGUGAUGAUCCUAUACCCUUUUUUCCGGUCUCAUGUUGAAGAUCUUUAUGUAGAAGGUCUUUCCAAAGUAACUUUUUUUUGUAGUGGGGGGAUGGGGUUUUCAUUCUUCUUGCUCAGGCUGGAGUGCAAUGGCGUGAUCUUGGCUCACUGCAACCUCUGCCUCUUGGGUUCAUGUGAUUCUUCUGCCUCAGCCUCCUGAGUAGCUGGGAUUACAGGUGCCCACCACCACGCCAGGCUAAUUUUUGUAUUUUUAGUAGAGAUGGGGUUUCACCGUGUUGGCCAGGCUGGUCUUGAACUCCUGACCUCAGAUGAUCCUCCUGCCUCAGCCUCCCAAAGUGCUGGGAUUACAGGUGUGAACCACUAUGCCCGGCCAGGAAUUUUUUGUAAGAAGUCUGUCUACCAAUGGAAUUCCUGGCCUGGAGAGGAUAUUACUGUCAAAAGAAAGGAUUCGUUUUUUUCUUAAAAGCUCCAGCUGUAAAAGCCAAAGGUCCAAGGAUGGUCCCAUACCCUUUUUUCCAGUCUCAUGUUGAAGAUUUUUAUGUAGAAGGCCUUCUCAAAGGAAUUUUUUUUUUUUUUUUUUUUUUUUUGAGAGAGUUUUCACUCUUGUCGCCCAGGCUGGAGUGCAAUGGCACGACCUUGGCUCACUGCAACCUCUGCCUCCUGGGUUCAAGUGAUUCUCCUGCCUUACCUUCCCGGGUCGCUGGGAUUAUAGGUGCCCACCACCACGUCAGGCUAAUUUUUGUAUUUUUAGUGGAGAUGGGGUUUCACCAUGUUGGCCAGGCCAGUCUCGAACUCCUGACCUCAGGUAAUCCUCCUGCCUCAGCCUCCCAAAGUGCUGGGAUUACAAGCGUGAACCCAUGCCUGGCCAGGAAUUUUUUUUUUAAGAAGGUUGUCUACUAAUGGAAUUCCUGGCCUUCAGAGGAUAUUACUUUCCAAGGAAAGGAUUUAUUUUGUUAUUUAAAGAGUCACCUAAGCUGAAAAUUCCCUUGAGAACAAGUACUGUCCUGUGGUUUCAUGGCCUUUCUUCCAUUUGCGGUUCUUGCCAAGUGGAAUUUAAAUGACAUCUUAUCAAGAUGGAUAAACCCUAGUUUCCCAGUACUGGAAUAUAGAAAAUGGAUAGACAAAAUGUCUUUUUGUCACUUCCUGCUGGAUCUACCAUGAAAGACUUCUGAAUCCAGGAAGAGAGACUGACUGAGCAACGUUAUUCCGGUACAAAAAGACUUGGACUAUAACUCCAAAAUGAUCAAAUAAUAGUGCAUGCAUCAAGUGCAGUGAAAGCUCUUCUGGAGAGUGAGAGAAGCUUCCAGUUAAAGUGACAUUGAAACCAGAAACAGGACCUUGCCCUGUCACUCAGGAUGGAGUUCAGUGAUCCAAUCAUGGCUUAUUGUAGCCUCAAACUCUCAGGCUCAAGCAAUCCUACCACGUCAGCCUUCCCAAUAGCUGGGUCUCGCUCUGUUGUCCAAGGCUGGAGUGUAGUAGUGCUAUCACAGCUGACUGCAGCCUCAACCUUCCAGGCUCAAGCGAUCCUUCCAUCUCAACCUCCCACGUGGCUGAGACUAUAGUUGCUUGCCACUAUGCCCAACUAAUAUUUGGAAUUUUCCUAUACGUGGGUUCCAGAGGGGUGACAGCAAAACAUGGGACCAUCUAGUCGCAGGAAAACAAGCUUAACCCGCCCACUGAUUCUACAUUAUG